rnacentral:rRNA from 1 species
AUGAACGCUAGCGACAGGCUUAACACAUGCAAGUCGAGGGGCAGCGGGGGAUAAGCUUGCUUUUCCUGCCGGCGACCGGCGCACGGGUGAGUAACACGUAUGCAACCUGCCCCUGUCAGAGGGAUAAUCCGGAGAAAUCCGGUCUAAUAUCGCAUAAAGCGUUUGCGGGGCAUCCUGCGAGCGCCAAAGGAGUAAUCCGGACAGGGAUGGGCAUGCGGCGCAUUAGCUAGUUGGGGGGGUAACGGCCCACCAAGGCGACGAUGCGUAGGGGUUCUGAGAGGAAGGUCCCCCACAUUGGUACUGAGACACGGACCAAACUCCUACGGGAGGCAGCAGUGAGGAAUAUUGGUCAAUGGGCGGAAGCCUGAACCAGCCAAGUCGCGUGAGGGAAGACGGCCCUAUGGGUUGUAAACCUCUUUUGCCGGGGAGCAAAAGCGCCGUGCGCGGUGCUAUGAGAGUACCCGGAGAAAAAGCAUCGGCUAACUCCGUGCCAGCAGCCGCGGUAAUACGGAGGAUGCGAGCGUUAUCCGGAUUUAUUGGGUUUAAAGGGUGCGUAGGCGGACAGUUAAGUCAGCGGUCAAAACGGGCGGCUCAACCGCCUGCCGCCGUUGAAACUGGCAGUCUAGAGUGGGCGAGAAGUACGCGGAAUGCGCGGUGUAGCGGUGAAAUGCAUAGAUAUUGCGCAGAACUCCGAUUGCGAAGGCAGCGUACCGGCGCCCGACUGACGCUGAGGCACGAAAGCGUGGGGAUCGAACAGGAUUAGAUACCCUGGUAGUCCACGCCGUAAACGAUGUCGAUUUGGAGGUUGUGCCCUUGAGGCGUGGCUUCCGGAGCUAACGCGUUAAAUCGACCGCCUGGGGAGUACGGCCGCAAGGUUAAAACUCAAAUGAAUUGACGGGGGCCCGCACAAGCGGAGGAACAUGUGGUUUAAUUCGAUGAUACGCGAGGAACCUUACCCGGGCUCAAACGCACGACGGCGGCACGUGAAAGCGUGCUUACCUACGGGACGUUGUGCGAGGUGCUGCAUGGUUGUCGUCAGCUCGUGCCGUGAGGUGUCGGCUUAAGUGCCAUAACGAGCGCAACCCCCAUCCGCAGUUGCCAGCAGGUAAAGCUGGGGACUCUGCGGAGACUGCCGGCGCAAGCUGAGAGGAAGGCGGGGAUGACGUCAAAUCAGCACGGCCCUUACGUCCGGGGCGACACACGUGUUACAAUGGCAGGGACAGAGGGAAGCCACCGGGCGACCGGGCGCGGACCCCGAAACCCUGUCUCAGUUCGGAUCGGAGUCUGCAACUCGACUCCGUGAAGCUGGAUUCGCUAGUAAUCGCGCAUCAGCCAUGGCGCGGUGAAUACGUUCCCGGGCCUUGUACACACCGCCCGUCAAGCCAUGGAAGCCGGGAGUGCCUGAAGUGCGUGACCGCAAGGAGCGCCCUAGGGUAAAACCGGUGACUGGGGCU